rnacentral:rRNA from 1 species
AGGAUGAACGCUAGCGACAGGCUUAACACAUGCAAGUCGAGGGGCAGCACGGGAGUAGCAAUACAACUGGUGGCGACCGGCGCACGGGUGAGUAACGCGUAUGCAACCUACCUAUCAGAGGGGAAUAACCCGGCGAAAGUCGGACUAAUACCGCAUAAAACAGGGGCACCGCAUGGUGAUAUUUGUUAAAGAAAUUCGCUGAUAGAUGGGCAUGCGUUCCAUUAGGUAGUUGGUGAGGUAACGGCUCACCAAGCCGACGAUGGAUAGGGGAACUGAGAGGUUGGUCCCCCACACUGGUACUGAGACACGGACCAGACUCCUACGGGAGGCAGCAGUGAGGAAUAUUGGUCAAUGGGCGAGAGCCUGAACCAGCCAAGUCGCGUGAAGGAAGAAGGAUCUAUGGUUCGUAAACUUCUUUUGCAGGGGAAUAAAGUGCGGGACGUGUCCUGUUUUGUAUGUACCCUGAGAAUAAGGAUCGGCUAACUCCGUGCCAGCAGCGGC